rnacentral:rRNA from 1 species
GACGAACGCUGGCGGCGUGCUUAACACAUGCAAGUCGAACGGUAAGGCCCUUCGGGGUACACGAGUGGCGAACGGGUGAGUAACACGUGGGUGAUCUGCCCUGCACUUCGGGAUAAGCCUGGGAAACUGGGUCUAAUACCGGAUAGGACCACUGCCUGCAUGGGUGGUGGUGGAAAGCUUUUGCGGGGUGGGAUGGGCCCGCGGCCUAUCAGCUUGUUGGUGGGGUGAUGGCCUACCAAGGCGACGACGGGUAGCCGGCCUGAGAGGGUGACCGGCCACACUGGGACUGAGAUACGGCCCAGACUCCUACGGGAGGCAGCAGUGGGGAAUAUUGCACAAUGGGCGCAAGCCUGAUGCAGCGACGCCGCGUGAGGGAUGACGGCCUUCGGGUUGUAAACCUCUUUCAGUAGGGAAGAAGCGAAAGUGACGGUACCUGCAGAAAAAGCACCGGCUAACUACGUGCCAGCAGCCGCCGUAA